UACAGAGGGUGCAAGUGUUGUUCGGAAUCAUUGGGCGUAAAGGGCGCGUAGGCGGUUUGGUAAGUCAGGUGUGAAAUCCCUGGGCUUAACUCAGGAACUGCAUUUGAAACUACCAAGCUAGAGUGCGAUAGAGGAGAGCGGAAUUCCCGGUGUAGAGGUGAAAUUCGUAGAUAUCGGGAGGAACACCAGUGGCGAAAGCGGCUCUCUGGGUCGACACUGACGCUCAGUGCGCGAAAGCGUGGGGAGCAAACAGG
rnacentral:rRNA from 1 species